rnacentral:rRNA from 1 species
AACGCGAAGAACCUUACCAGGGUUUGACAUCCCGAGACCGCUGCUGAAAGGCAGUUUCCCGCAAGGGCUCGGAGACAGGUGCUGCAUGGCUGUCGUCAGCUCGUGUCGUGAGAUGUUGGGUUAAGUCCCGCAACGAGCGCAACCCUCGCCUUUAGUUGCCAUCAUUAAGUUGGGCACUCUAGAGGGACCGCCGGCGACAAGCCGGAGGAAGGUGGGGAUGACGUCAAGUCCUCAUGGCCCUUACACCCUGGGCUACACACGUGCUACAAUGGCGGUGACAGUGAGCAGCUAGUUCGCGAGAACGUGCUAAUCUCAAAAAACCGUCCCAGUUCAGAUUGCACUCUGCAACUCGAGUGCAUGAAGGUGGAAUCGCUAGUAAUCGCAGAACAGCAGGCUGCGGUGAAUACGUUCCCGGGCCUUGUACACACCGAUACUC